CUUCUGGUAAUGAACAACAAUACUGAGAAGAGCUGAAGUUCACAGUGAAUAUGGCUUUAAAAAUUUAAAAAAACAACAGCUGUUUGAAUGUCUCAGCUAACCUCAAAUAUGGGUGCACAUUUGUUUAGGAACCACGGCUUGGCUACCAUGCUUGGAGGGGAAAUGAACAUGGAGGAUAAUAAAGGACAGUCAGCAAAGACACAGAGUAUCAUCAUAUCCUCCCUCAAUUUCAUUCACAACAAAGUGACUAAAUCCUGAAAGCCAAGUAAAAAUCCACAUGUAUAAAGUAUGCCAG